rnacentral:rRNA from 1 species
AGUGAACGCUGGCGGUAGGCCUAACACAUGCAAGUCGAACGGCAGCACAGUAAGAGCCUGCUCUUACGGGUGGCGAGUGGCGGACGGGUGAGGAAUACAUCGGAAUCUACUUUUUCGUGGGGGAUAACGUAGGGAAACUUACGCUAAUACCGCAUACGACCCACGGGUGAAAGCAGGGGAUCUUCGGACCUUGCGCGAUUGAAUGAGCCGAUGUCGGAUUAGCUAGUUGGCGGGGUAAAGGCCCACCAAGGCGACGAUCCGUAGCUGGUCUGAGAGGAUGAUCAGCCACACUGGAACUGAGACACGGUCCAGACUCCUACGGGAGGCAGCAGUGGGGAAUAUUGGACAAUGGGCGCAAGCCUGAUCCAGCCAUACCGCGUGGGUGAAGAAGGCCUUCGGGUUGUAAAGCCCUUUUGUUGGGAAAGAAAAGCAGCAGGUUAAUACCCCGCUGUUCUGACGGUACCCAAAGAAUAAGCACCGGCUAACUUCGUG